UCAGCCUGCCGGCAGCGCCAAACCAAACCUGAAUUUAAAAACCAGUCUGAAAAUUGAUUCAUUUACGAAUGGAAAAAUCAAAACUUUCAACAACGGAUCUCUUGGUUCUCGCAUCGAUGAAGAACGCAGCGAAACGCGAUAGUUAAUGUGAAUUGCAGAAUUCAGUGAAUCAUCGAGUCUUUGAACGCACAUUGCGCCCAUUGGUAUUCCGAUGGGCAUGUCUGUUUGAGCGUCAUUGCAAACUUUCGGUUCCGGCCGGUUAUGAGCUCGGCUUGACCCUUUGCUGGGCAGCUGGCUUUAAAUUUGCACGCUCUGCGGGUGGUCCAAACCUGAACGAACAUAGUAAAUUUGCUAAUUGUUUAACUAAGGAUUGAUCAACUUCGCCUGAAUAACAAAACCAUUUCUAAGGUUUGACCUCAGAUCAGACAAGGAUACCCGCUGAACUUAAGCAUAUCAAUAAGCGGAGGAAAAGAAACCAACAGGGAUUGCCUCAGUAACGGCGAGUGAAGCGGCAACAGCUCAAAUUUGAAAUCUGAAGCCUUUGGCUUUCGAGUUGUAAUUUGAAGAGGAUGCUUCGGUUGUGGCCCCGGCCUAAGUUCCUUGGAACAGGACGUCCCAGAGGGUGAGAAUCCCGUACGCGGCUGGCGGCUUACUUCCAUGUGUAGCUCCUUCGAAGAGUCGAGUUGUUUGGGAAUGCAGCUCAAAACGGGUGGUAAAUUUCAUCUAAAGCUAAAUACUGGCGAGAGACCGAUAGCGCACAAGUAGAGUGAUCGAAAGAUGAAAAGCACUUUGAAAAGAGAGUUAAACAGUACGUGAAAUUGUUGAAAGGGAAGCGCUUGCAAUCAGACUUGCUUUCGGUUGAUCAACGUUCCUUUUGGUUCGUGCACUCUGCCGUUUGCAGGCCAGCAUCGGUUAGGGCGGCGGGACAAAGA
rnacentral:rRNA from 1 species